UGGUGGAGUGAUUUGUCUGGUUAAUUCCGUUAACGAACGAGACCUCCGCGUGCUAAAUAGUUUUGCUUACCAAUUUGGUAGGUAAAGACUUCUUAGAGGGACUUUCAGUGACUAACUGAAGGAAGUUGGAGGCAAUAACA
rnacentral:rRNA from 1 species